AGUGGACACUUGGGUUGCUUCCACACUUUCAUUAAUGUAAAUAACGCUGCUAAGAAUAUGGUUGCGCAGACACAUCUUCAAGAUCAUACCUUUAAUUCUUUUGGAUAUAUACCCAGAAGUGGAGCUACUUGAUCAUAUGUCUUAUGAAGGAAGUUUUGCUCUGCUGAGUUGGAGAAAACAGACACAUAGAAGAAUUUACUCCAGAUUCCUCAGCUAGAGACAGUGGAAGCAGGAUUCGAAAUCAAAUGGGACUCUGACCCCUAAAGCUCCCAAAUCUCUCAAAUGGAGAUAGGAAUGUUUGCUUAAACAUUUGUUAGGCAAUCCUGAUGCUUCUUUCCCCACCUUACACCAUCAUACUGAAGAGCUAC
ensembl:lncRNA